UGGGGAAUAUUGGGCAAUGGGCGCAAGCCUGACCCAGCAACGCCGCGUGAAGGAAGAAGGCUUUCGGGUUGUAAACUCUUUUAAGAGGGAAGAGCAGAAGACGGUACCUCUUGAAUAAGCCACGGCUAACUACGUGCC
rnacentral:rRNA from 1 species